rnacentral:rRNA from 1 species
UGGGGAAUAUUGCACAAUGGGCGCAAGCCUGAUGCAGCCAUGCCGCGUGUAUGAAGAAGGCCUUCGGGUUGUAAAGUACUUUCAGCGGGGAGGAAGGGAGUAAAGUUAAUACCUUUGCUCAUUGACGUUACCCGCAGAAGAAGCACCGGCUAACUCCGUGCCAGCAGCCGCGGUAAUACGGAGGGUGCAAGCGUUAAUCGGAAUUACUGGGCGUAAAGCGCACGCAGGCGGUUUGUUAAGUCAGAUGUGAAAUCCUCGGGCUCAACCUGGGAACUGCAUCUGAUACUGGCAAGCUUGAGUCUCGUAGAGGGGGGUAGAAUUCCAGGUGUAGCGGUGAAAUGCGUAGAGAUCUGGAGGAAUACCGGUGGCGAAGGCGGCCCCCUGGACGAAGACUGACGCUCAGGUGCGAAAGCGUGGGGAGCAAACAGGA